CAUGAGUUGUAUUGGACUUGUGACUGCCGGUUGAUCCCCCGGCCUUUUGUGCGGCCGACUGCCGGCGCCUGGUCCGUUCGAAUGCUGUUGCCGACUUGUUGCUGACCCUAAGAAGUGCUUGCAUGCUGCUACCCGUCAAGCGGGAAGUGGUGCUUGCUAAACGGUUGCCUCGCGACCCUCACCAUCCGGUGUUGUGUUGCGGCCAAAUAUUAUGUGCGGCGUUUCGACGUGUUGCAAGGAAGUUUUGCUUCCUCGUGACCUGUUGGAGACCUCGUAUGUGAUCUUGGUUUCGGAUGUCGCCCAUGAUAAAAGGUUCGUGGCCCAUCGGUGCUUUCCUACAGAAAGCUCGCUCAGUAAACGACAGCAAAACCAUGGCACGCAUGUUGUGAGGCCACUUGAGGGUCUGAAACGUGCGACCGUUGCUUUGCUCGUCGAGGAGGACGUGCU
rnacentral:misc_RNA from 1 species